AGAGUUUGAUCCUGGCUCAGGACGAACGCUGGCGGCGUGCCUAACACAUGCAAGUCGAACGAGGUCCAACCGGUGGCAACACUGGUGAAGACCGAGUGGCGAACGGGUGAGUACCACGUGAGCAACCUGCCCCAAAGACUGGGAUAACCCCGGGAAACCGGAGCUAAUACCAGAUACCCCCACCGGGUCGCAUGGCCUGGUGAGGAAAUGGAUUCCGCUUUGGGAGGGGCUCGCGGCCUAUCAGCUUGAUGGCGGGGUAACGGCCCACCAUGGCACCGACGGGUAGCUGGUCUGAGAGGACGAUCAGCCACACUGGGACUGAGACACGGCCCAGACUCCUACGGGAGGCAGCAGUGGGGAAUAUUGGACAAUGGGCGCAAGCCUGAUCCAGCCAUGCCGCGUGGGUGAUGAAGGCCCUAGGGUUGUAAAGCCCUUUCGGCGGGGAAGAUAAUGACGGUACCCGCAGAAGAAGCCCCGGCUAACUUCGUGCCAGCAGCCGCGGUAAUAC
rnacentral:rRNA from 1 species